CAGUAGCCGCGGGAAUACGUAGGGUGCGAACGUUAAUCGGAAUUACUGGGCGUAAAGCGUGCGCAGGCGGUUGUGUAAGACAGGUGUGAAAUCCCCGGGCUUAACCUGGGAACUGCGCUUGUGACUGCACAGCUAGAGUAUGGCAGAGGGGGGUGGAAUUCCACGUGUAGCAGUGAAAUGCGUAGAGAUGUGGAGGAACACCGAUGGCGAAGGCAGCCCCCUGGGCCAAUACUGACGCUCAUGCACGAAAGCGUGGGGAGCAAACAGGAUUAGAUACCCCUGUAGUCCCUGUCUCUUAUAC
rnacentral:rRNA from 1 species